AUACGGAGGGUGCAAGCGUUACUCGGAAUCACUGGGCGUAAAGCGGGCGCAGGCGGCUUGAUAAGUUGGAUGUGAAAGCCUACGGCUCAACCGUAGAACUGCAUCCAAAACUGUCAAGCUAGAGUCUGGGAGGGGAAGAUGGAAUUAGUUGUGUAGGGGUAAAAUCCGUAGAGAUAACUAGGAAUACCAAAAGCGAAGGCGAUCUUCUGGAACAGUACUGACGCUGAGGCGCGAAGGCGUGGGGAGCAAACAGGAUUAGAAACCCGAGUAGUCC
rnacentral:rRNA from 1 species